UACGUAGGUGGCAAGCGUUGUCCGGAUUUACUGGGCGUAAAGAGCGCGCAGGCGGUCGAAUAAGUCGAAUGUGAAAGCCCCCGGCUCAACUGGGGAGGGUCAUUCGAUACUGAUCGAGUCGAAGGCAGGAGAGGGAAGUGGAAUUCCCGGUGUAGUGGUGAAAUGCGUAGAUAUCGGGAGGAUCACCAGUGGCGAAGGCGACUUCCUGGCCUGUUCUUGACGCUGAGGCGCGAAAGCUAGGGGAGCAAACGGG
rnacentral:rRNA from 1 species